rnacentral:lncRNA from 1 species
UCUUUUUCGUCAACCCUUUGACGAAGUCAAAUUCUUUUCUGUCCACGCUUUGACGAUGACAAUUUCUUUUCUGUCAACCCUAUGACGAAUACAAAUUCUUUUCCGUCAACCCUUUGACGAAGUCAAAUUCUUUCCCGUCAACCCGUUGACGAUGACAAAUUACGUUUUCGUCAACCCUUUGACGAAGACAAGUUACCUUC